AGAUGAAGUGACCAAGUGCACUGAAGAAAUGGAAUCUCUUCCUAGCAUUCAAGUGCCUGCAUUUCCUUUCUUGGACCUUAAUGGAGAAGUGAUGAUGGAUGGGAACAGCCAUGAGGAUCCCCAAGAACUCAUGAUCAAGCCACCGAUGCCCUCUUCUGAUUUCUCUUCGGGAUCUGCUUCGAAGUGGGCAAAUUGAUGGAAAUCAAUGCAGAAAUAAAGCUAGCAGCAAGUGGCAAUCAUCUUUAUCUAUAAUUAUAUGAAAUAAAUGGAUUGGUAUCCUUUGUGUGGCUUGUUAAGUACUGUUAAACACCCGACUUUUCUCAUCACAGCUAUGUUUAAUGGUCUGCUAGACGCUAGUAGAUCUCUUUUAUGUUCUUUUA